rnacentral:rRNA from 1 species
GACGAACGCUGGCGGCGUGCUUAACACAUGCAAGUCGAACGGAAAGGCCCUGCUUUUGUGGGGUGCUCGAGUGGCGAACGGGUGAGUAACACGUGAGUAACCUGCCCUUGACUUUGGGAUAACUUCAGGAAACUGGGGCUAAUACCGGAUAGGAGCUCCUGCUGCAUGGUGGGGGUUGGAAAGUUUCGGCGGUUGGGGAUGGACUCGCGGCUUAUCAGCUUGUUGGUGGGGUAGUGGCUUACCAAGGCUUUGACGGGUAGCCGGCCUGAGAGGGUGACCGGCCACAUUGGUACUGCGAUACGGCCCAGACUGCUACGGGAGGCAGCAGUGGGGGAUAUUGCACAGUGGGCGGAAGCCUGAUGCAGCAGCGCCGCGUGCGGAAUGCCGGCCUUCGGGUUGUAAACCGCUUUCGCCUGUGACGAAGCGUGAGUGACGGUAAUGGGUAAGGAAGCACCGGCUAACUACGUG